UACACGAGUGGCGAACGGGUGAGUAACACGUGGGUGAUCUGCCCUGUACUUCGGGAUAAGCCUGGGAAACUGGGUCUAAUACCGGAUAUGACCUUCUCCUGCAUGGGGGUUGGUGGAAAGCUUUUGCGGUACAGGAUGGGCCCGCGGCCUAUCAGCUUGUUGGUGGGGUAAUGGCCUACCAAGGCGACGACGGGUAGCCGGCCUGAGAGGGCGACCGGCCACACUGGGACUGAGACACGGCCCAGACUCCUACGGGAGGCAGCAGUGGGGAAUAUUGCACAAUGGGCGCAAGCCUGAUGCAGCGACGCCGCGUGAGGGAUGACGGCCUUCGGGUUGUAAACCUCUUUCAGUAGGGACGAAGCGCAAGUGACGGUACCUACAGAAGAAGCACCGGCCAACUACGUGCCAGCAGCCGCGGUAAUACGUAGGGUGCAAGCGUUGUCCGGAAUUACUGGGCGUAAAGAGCUCGUAGGCGGUUUGUCACGUCGUCUGUGAAAACCCGAGGCUUAACCUCGGGCCUGCAGGCGAUACGGGCAGACUUGAGUACUGUAGGGGAGACUGGAAUUCCUGGUGUAGCGGUGGAAUGCGCAGAUAUCAGGAGGAACACCGGUGGCGAAGGCGGGUCUCUGGGCAGUAACUGACGCUGAGGAGCGAAAGCGUGGGUAGCGAACA
rnacentral:rRNA from 1 species